GGUUGCCUCCGACCUCGGCGCUGGGCGGGCGCGCCGGGCCUGGGGAAGGGGCGGGCGCGGGGACCCGAUGCGCGGGAGCGGAGGCCGAGAUGGCUUCGGCGGGAGGCGAAGACUGCGAGAGCCCCGCGCCGGAGGCCGACCGUCCGCACCAGCGGCCCUUCCUGAUAGGGGUGAGCGGCGGCACUGCCAGCGGGAAGGACGAGCGGUUCCAGGCGGGAAUCCCGCUUCUGUGUCUCCAGUCGACCGUGUGUGAGAAGAUCAUGGAGUUGCUGGGACAGAACGAGGUGGAACAGCGGCAGCGGAAGGUGGUCAUCCUGAGCCAGGACAGGUUCUACAAGGUCCUGACGGCAGAGCAGAAGGCCAAGGCCUUGAAAGGACAGUACAAUUUUGACCAUCCAGAUGCCUUUGAUAAUGAUUUGAUGCACAGGACUCUGAAGAACAUCGUGGAGGGCAAAACGGUGGAGGUGCCGACCUAUGAUUUUGUGACACACUCAAGGUUACCAGAGACCACGGUGGUCUACCCUGCGGACGUGGUUCUGUUUGAGGGCAUCUUGGUGUUCUACAGCCAGGAGAUCCGGGACAUGUUCCACCUGCGCCUCUUCGUGGACACCGACUCCGACGUCAGGCUGUCUCGAAGAGUUCUCCGGGACGUGCGCCGAGGGAGGGACCUGGAGCAGAUUCUGACGCAGUACACCACCUUCGUGAAGCCGGCCUUCGAGGAGUUCUGCCUGCCGCAGAGCAUCUGACAGGGAAUGAGAGUCAGCAUUGAGCCAAUGAGUGGUUGGAUGAGGGAACAAAGAAGUAUGCCGAUGUGAUCAUCCCGCGAGGAGUGGACAAUAUGGUUGCCAUCAACCUGAUCGUGCAGCACAUCCAGGACAUUCUGAAUGGUGACAUCUGCAAAUGGCACCGAGGAGGGUCCAAUGGGCGGAGCUACAAGCGGACCUUUUCUGAGCCAGGGGACCACCCUGGGAUGCUGACCUCUGGCAAACGGUCACAUUUGGAGUCCAGCAGCAGACCCCACUGAGGGGCUGCCGAGCCUCAGGGCAGGUCUCCCGCCCGGCAUGUGUGUUCAGGGACUGAGCCUGGGGACGCCCACCCACACCCACUGCUUCCUCUCGGCGCACCCCAGGGGAGUGUUAGCAGCGAGGCCUUCCUCACUCAGGAGUGGAAACUCAGAUGUGUCACUCAGACUCAACUUGCUGGGACACUGACAGGCGUUCCUGAGGUUUUCAGCCACUUAGGCUCGUUGCGGUUUAAAGAUCCCUCUAGGUCACUGAGAAAUGCCACAGAAUGUGCAGGAAGCCUGGGAGGCUUCUGUGAGGAAUGUGAGGCACAUUAUUGGGGAAAUUGAGGAGACAGCCUAGACACUGGCUGGCCUGAUGUUUUGUUGACAGUGAACCCACAGUGGGAGAGAGUUUUUUCCAGUCUGAUCUGGUUCUUACACACUCACACACAUAACUCAAAAGUUUUGUGAACAAGUACUUUCCUUUUUUACAUGUUACAUGUCCUCAUGUUUUCUGUUUUCUGUUUCAUAACACAAGGCUGGUUGUGGCCUACAAACCUAAUUUCAUGACCCAGUGGUUUGCAGUCCAGCGUGGCCUACACGGAUAUGGGGAGCCACUGAGGGAUGUUUUCCCCCCUUGCUUGUGCCUUAAAGGCAGAGAAGCGAGGCGGAUGCCCUGGAAGCACCCAGCAUCACACCCAGGCUUGUGCGGGGCCAGGCUGGGAGCCCAUGCAGUAGGGCAGAAGGCAGCGGAGGCCAGGUCUGUCCCGGCUGGAGAACAGCGUCCACGCAGUCCUGCCUGGGGUCAGGCCCUCACUGACCCUCAGGGGAGCCCCCAAGGUGCUGUCUGUCUAGACAGGCUGUCCCACCCCAGGGUGGCUAGUGGCCAUAUGCAGGGAAUGGUGCUUCUGGCUGUGGCACGCACUGGAUCACCCAGGUCCCAGCAGACAUGGCCGCCCAAAGUCAGCAAGCCUCCUUUGUGCUAUGUGGAGCUCACAGCCUCACAUGUGAACACCCGUGUCUGGGUUGCCUGGGGUGAUCCUCCCUCCUGCGUGGUGGCUGUCUCUGGAAAGCAUCCCUUGCCGCUGCCAUGGGCAGCCCCAGCCCCCGUCCGUCCAGGCUCACCCACAGUAGUGAUGCAGACGUGACGUGGGGGAAGGGGGCUGAGCCCUGUGGCUGGGUUCUGACAACUGUAACGGUUUUGUCGAGCUUAGGCCCCUUUGGAGGGAGAAUCAAUAAAUAACAAACACCAACUACAAA